rnacentral:rRNA from 1 species
CGUGAGUGGCGGACGGGUGAGUAACGCGUGGGUAACCUGCCUCAUACAGGGGGAUAACAGUUAGAAAUGACUGCUAAUACCGCAUAAGACCACAGUACCGCAUGGUACAGGGGUAAAAACUCCGGUGGUAUGAGAUGGACCCGCGUCUGAUUAGGUAGUUGGUGGGGUAACGGCCUACCAAGCCGACGAUCAGUAGCCGACCUGAGAGGGUGACCGGCCACAUUGGGACUGAGACACGGCCCAA